rnacentral:tmRNA from 1 species
CACCUUGAAACUGCACCCCCGCGCCCGUAUGUAUUGCGUGUUCCUUCGAGGACUAUGGACAUAAACGCGCUCGUAAUAAGCGGAUCGGACCCGGGGGCGGUACCCGGCGACUCCACCAAACCUCCCUUCAUUUGAGGGACAGAUGGGGUCGAAACAGGAUCGACGAACGUCUAAAGGGGUUAGCUUUGUCCCGGUGAGUUACCACCGUUAUCGGUACAAAUCGUACAGUUGCAAAUGACAACCGUGCUCCGGCAAUGGCUCUCGCAGCGUAAGCUGUCUGAGUCGCCGAACUUAAGCCCUGUCGCCUAGCCGCGUCAGGCGGGGUUCGCAGGCACCUGGCAACAGAAGCCUGCACU